UCGGGAACUUGUCCUUGUUGUUCUCUUUCUUCCACUUCAUGCGCCGGUUCUGAAACCAGAUCUUCACCUGGCGCUCGGUCAGGCACAGCGCUCGCGACACCUCCACGCGCCGCUUGCGGUUCAGGUUUGAGGUACAGAUUUCAACAUGACUGUCACUGCCCCAGCCCUCUCCCUCCACCUCUGCAUUGGGCUCGUAUUGAAAAGAGUCCUGGGGAUCUGGACCCUCUGCAGGAGAGCCCAUGCUUAGAGGCAAAAAUGACAGUGCUCAUGAACAGAAGAAAAUAAAUAUGGGACACAUGAACAGACACAGACAUCUUGGCCUGAGCUGACUACAGUUACAGGAGGUUGUCGAGGGACAUCCCAGCAAGCUGUGGGAGGCCUGGGUGCUAGAUACCCCAAAGCUGUGACAUUCACUUGCAGAGUUAUAAUACUGUGGCUUAUUCAUCCCACUACUGGCUUCUAGCUGGUUCUAUCAGCUGCAGGAGUUCAGGCAAAGACACACAGCAUGUAAAGCAGGCCAAACUUAGGUUAGUUCGCCACCUAGUGGUUCAAAUGCUAGUUUACACAACAUUCUCGAUAUAUUUUUCUAACAUUAAAUGUAAAUUAAAUAUAUACAUAUCGCAGUGUAGUACAUAGUUUCCAGAGAAAAAGUAUUCAGAAGCCCAUGUUAGGAAAUAACAUUUUGUUCAGUAAAAGCCUGGUGGUGUCUGGCAGGGAAAUCAGUGGAGCAUGUAGAUGUUUCUGGACAUGAAGAAUGAGAACACCAUCUUCUCCAAUGGACACCAACUUGCAGUUCUUGGACAGCUAUGUUUGCUGCAAAACACACAGAGAAGUGAUGAGAUGAAGAGCUUUUCAAAGUACAAUAAGUAUGGAUUUCAGUAACAUUAUACCUACUGUACAGGUCUUCUUACCAGGAAGUCCAUGAAGUUCAUCUGCAUGACAGAGGUGACAGUUGUUUCGAUGUGGACGUGCGCAUUAAAACUUCUGAAGGUUCAGAGAGUGUGAUUAUAACAACUACUCAAAAAUCUUUUGGACAUGAGCAAUAGAAGUUAAAAAAAAAAAUCUUUUGUCACUUAUGUUGCUGAAAUUAAUGUUGGCUUUACCUUGAUGCAGCCACAAUCUUGACCAAGGCAGAAUGCUGAGAAGGAAUAUAUAAAAUAUUUUAUGUGUUCACUUGUAACUCAAAUCACCUUCCUCUUUCUUAAAAAGGCCCAAAAGCAAAAGCUUAGUGCAGUUAUUGAAUUUUGAAAGAGGGAAGUCAUUGGUUUGUGUUUAAAGAUAAGUAAAAAAUUUUGGCAAAUGAUAGAGGCCAGAUUCUCAAAAUAUGAUCACUGUUACUGAUUAAUUUUUUCCAGUUGCUACACAGCUCUGUUUUGGUCCUGAGACACCACUGAGUCCACAUCAACACAGAAAUGUAACAUUAAAAACAGACUCCAAACUAACAGCAGAUGCUUCCUUUUUCCAAAGUGACCUAAAAGUGAGUCAGAAUACAAUCCAAGAAUGGAGCUGAGCAGUUGAAGAUAAUUAGCACAGAAAAUUCCACUUAAUCUUAAAAUAAUAAAACCAGAAAUUGGGAGAAAAAAAACUUCUUUUGGGUUUUUUUUUUAUCAGAACAAAUGCAGUUUUCCCAUUUUAAUAGCUGUAUAAUGUUUAAUAAACAUGAUGUUUUAUGUUCAGCAGUUAUAUAUUUCUACAUCUCAAAAUUAUUUAGAAGAAGGAAUACACAAUAUUGUAUAGGUGACAAUAAUUUGAUUGUAGGUAGUAUAAUCCAACAAUAUUUAAUUCAUUUUGUUAGAUGGCAAUCAAAGGUGUGUCAGCAUAUGUCUAAAUGUAUGCUUUAUGUAAUUUCAUAUCAACCUAUCAGCUAUCAAUAUUCCAAAUCCAUGUUCAUAUCCAAGAUUUUGGGUUUCAAUUAUUUCAGAGUUUUUCCCCACAUAUAUACAUUUAAACUACGUAGAAGGGAAUUUAUAAGAUGUCUCAAGCAGUGUAAGGAUAUGAAGCAUCUUAUAAGACACUUUUGGCUGCCCUGCACUUUAAGGAAUAAAACCAUGGAGGAUCUAGAAAACAGAUAUUGCAGGCAAUGGAUUGGUGAAAUAAAUAAAUAAAUUCUGAAGGAGCUUCUCAGAUGGGUAUUCAUUUAUUUAUUAAAUGUGUUUAUGAUGCAGUUAAUACUAAUUUGACUACAGGCAGAGUACAUCACUUUACACAACUAAUUUGUUAAACUAAACUAUUUAAGUCUAAGUGAUAUUUGUAAUGUAAUGUAUGACAGUUCAGUUCAUAUCAAUAAUUGGCCAUUUCUUCUGACGUCUAAGCUAUAGGAAGUUGUGGCAGCAGGGGCGUGGUUUAGCUGAGAAUAGGAGGAGGGGUUAAGGAGAAGGCGCGCGCUGACGGGUGAAUGGGGUCACCUGUGCGGGAUUAAUAAUGAACGUGUGUUUUGUGUUUCACUGAGCAUCUGAGAGGUAUGGAAGCCGAACGGCGAAAGCUGAUCUGCGUGUGUGUGUCUGAGAGUGAAACUACUGAAUUUACCCCAGCGCUGAAAAGGAAAAAAUAAAUAGCCAAGUUGAGCUAUCCCAAGCCUGCUUCCCGUUUCCUCAAUUCCCUCCGAACCGAAGAGAAGUGUUGCACUAGUGCCGAACCCCGCUCUUGAGGAAAACACUGUAUGUGCUUUAUUGAGAGAGACACUGUGGAAGUUCAGACGCCCAUGUUCAAGAUAACACUCUCCGUUGGAGCCUUCUUUGGAGGUACUUUUAAAGGAAUGGUUCUGUCAAAAAUCUUUUAACACUAACCCAAAUAUAGACAGUCAAACAAGAACAAAUUUAGCGUCACAGGUUUGCUUCUUUAGUUUUGCACUGGAGCUUUGAGGCUAAUGUAGCUAACAAGAAAGAAAACGUCCCAGUCAGUUCUAAAAAAAAAAUAAUGCCUCCCCGAGGCACUGAUUAUCCGAACUGAAUGAACAGUGGCAAUGAGUUACACUGUUGGCUUUAGCAUAAUGUUUUAUUUUUGUGCUUGUACAUAGUUUUAUUUUAACGCAACAUUUAAAACCUAAAUUUCGCUCUGGAUAAGGGCGUCUGCCAAAUGCCAUAAAUGUAAUUUUUUUGUGCGAAACACUGAUCAGAAUUUGAUCAGAAUUUUUAUAUCCAUAACCUGAUUUGUGCAGGUCUCUUCUGUAUUGUAAACGCUUCGCUUUUCACCAGGGUGAUGAGUAACAAAAGGGAUUUACAUGUGCAACCUCGUAUUUGGUCAAAGGUAACAACAGUUGGUCAACAACAAUGUUUCUGAAAAAAAUUCCGAUUUUUUUCAAGAAUGCCAUAUACAGGAAUUCCUCCAUACUGACUGAAUUAUAUAAAUGCAAAAGAAAAAAAGAUGCAAGACUUCAAAAUAUUGAUGCAAAAUAGUGAAAAAUAUGAUGGCUCAAUGGAUGUAUUGGCACAGGUCAAAUCUGCAGUGAUGCUGGGAGUCAGAAUACAGUCAUACAUCACCAUUCUCCACUUAUUUUGCAGGGGUAGGAGAAAAUGACAGUAAAAAUUCCUGAGUAGUUCUGUAGUGGUUUUAUUCUGUUUGUGCUCUUCUCAGAGAUUUGCUUAAUGACUGGUAAGUAGAAGGUGCAGUGUGACCAGUGUGGUGGCACUGACUUAAUGCAGGCUCUACCGCCUCUCUGUGGACAAAUAUAAUCAAGUUCUGAGUUGCUACCCAGAGAUGAUGGCUCAAAUCCGACUAGUAACACAGCAGAUAUUGGCAGAGCACUCAGGUAUGACACUGACACUUAAAUAAUACAUGUAUUGAAUAUUUAUGAAGAAAUGACCUGAAUAUGAUGGUGGAGGCUCCGGGGACCUAAUUCUUUUUUCUUUUUCUUUUUUUUUGUAUCUACAUUAUGGUUUUCCAGUAUAAUUACUGAGUUUAAUUUCAGUUCAAUUUUAUUUUUAUUGCAAUUAUAACAAUAGACAUAGUCAGAAAAGAAGCUUUACAGAAAUCUGGAUGUAGAUUUAGACUCCUGAGCCUAGUGGAUUUGUACACUAUUCCAAAGCUUAUCCAGAAUGACUUACAGUUGCAAGAAAAAUGUGUGAUGCCUUUGGAAUUACCUGAAUUUCUGCAUUAAAUACUCAUAAAACCUGUUCCUGUUAUGACCUGUCUAAGCACUGAUACUGUUCACUAUUGAGGAUAGGAAUCGCUCAGAAUUCUGAUAUACUCUAUUACUAAAAGUAUGUGGACACCUGACCAUCACACCCAUAUGUGCUUGUUGAACAUCCCAUUAUAGAUUUAGUUCUCCUUUGCUGUUAUAAUAACCUUCAGCUUCUGGGAAGGCUUUUCACUAGAUUUUGGAGCGUGGCUAUGGGGAUUUGCCUAUUCAGCCUCAAAAGCAUUAGUGAGAUUAGGUUGGGUGAGGAGGCCUGUGGUGCAGUCAGCGUUCCAGUUCAUCCCAAAGCUGUUCAGUGGGAUUGAGGUCAGGGCAAUGUCUUUAUGGACUUCACUUUGUGCACAGGGACAUUGUCAUGCUGGAACAAGUUUGGGCCUCUUAGUUCCAGUGAAUGUAAACUGUAAUGCUACAGCAUACAAAGCAUAUAAUUGUGUGCUUCCAACUUUAUGGUUUACUUUAACAGUUUGUGGAAGACCCUCAUAUGGGUAUGAUGGUCAUGUGUCCACAAACUUUUGACCUUAUAGUGUACUUGGGAGAAAUAUCCACACAAAUAUACAGCCACACUUACACACAUGUAUACUGAACAUACUAAGAACCAGGUCAGUACUGUAAUUUAGUAAAGUAUAUCCAUUUUUGCAGACUUUGCUUUUAUUCCACUACAUUUCAAAGCAAACUAUACCACUUUUACUCCAUUAUGUUCUGCAUGUCAAUUGUUAAGUAUCACUCUGAAGUAGGAGAAAACUGGAUUGGCUAAAAUGUCUGAACAAACACACUUUCAAAUUGAUUUUCUUCAAUCAUAUUGCAGCACGCCUCUCAAUUGGCUGAGAAAGCUGUAUAUUUACAGUAGCAUCCAAUGACAUGCAUCCCCCCUCAAAUGUGCUAUUUAAAAACAAACAAAAAAAAACAAAAAAAAAAAACAGAUGAAUUGCAUAUGGUUCAGACAACCUCUUUCUUUCUUGUGUGCAUGUUGCAGCUAAUUUUAAGUGUUUCAUCUUAUAGAGUACUUUUGUUUGUUUUUAAUAGCACAUUUCACCAGGAAUGUCAGUAGAUGCCACUGUAAAUAGAUAUAACAUAAAUAAGGAAUAUUUUCACUUCACAAGUCUAUCUAUUCACAAAAAUAUUUAACUCAAUGCCUUUUUUAAAACCAAGAUUAUGAGUAGCCUAUUUGAAUAAGAAGAUAAUUUGUUUGGAAGCCACAAUUUUAUGACUGACUGGUUCAUUCAUGUCCUUCAUUGUAGACAGACACGCCCCACAAGCGGCAAAGCACUGGUGAACGGAGUGGAGAUAUUCGCACCACACAGUGGACAUAUACCGUCAUGCUUUGGUCUGCAGUCAGAGAUGUCUUUAUAAACUGAUUAUCAAAAUAAUAAUUAAAAUAAAUUUUUACACUUACGUGCAGUUAAAAAAAAACAAACAGGUACUUUACUCAAGUAGAACUGCAAAUAGAAGACUCACAAAUUCACAACUAAGAGCAAUUUAUUUUAGCCAGUUCAGCUACUGGCAUGUUUUUUGGAGAUGGGAAGAAA